rnacentral:rRNA from 1 species
UUUGAUCCUGGCUCAGGAUGAACGCUGGCGGCGUGCCUAAUACAUGCAAGUCGAGCGAACAGACGAGGAGCUUGCUCCUCUGACGUUAGCGGCGGACGGGUGAGUAACACGUGGAUAACCUACCUAUAAGACUGGGAUAACUUCGGGAAACCGGAGCUAAUACCGGAUAACAUGUUGAACCGCAUGGUUCAACAGUGAAAGACGGUCUUGCUGUCACUUAUAGAUGGAUCCGCGCCGCAUUAGCUAGUUGGUAAGGUAACGGCUUACCAAGGCAACGAUGCGUAGCCGACCUGAGAGGGUGAUCGGCCACACUGGAACUGAGACACGGUCCAGACUCCUACGGGAGGCAGCAGUAGGGAAUCUUCCGCAAUGGGCGAAAGCCUGACGGAGCAACGCCGCGUGAGUGAAGAAGGUCUUCGGAUCGUAAAACUCUGUUAUUAGGGAAGAACAAAUGUGUAAGUAACUAUGCACGUCUUGACGGUACCUAAUCAGAAAGCCACGGCUAACUACGUGCCAGCAGCCGCGGUAAUACGUAGGUGGCAAGCGUUAUCCGGAAUUAUUGGGCGUAAAGCGCGCGUAGGCGGUUUUUUAAGUCUGAUGUGAAAGCCCACGGCUCAACCGUGGAGGGUCAUUGGAAACUGGAAAACUUGAGUGCAGAAGAGGAAAGUGGAAUUCCAUGUGUAGCGGUGAAAUGCGCAGAGAUAUGGAGGAACACCAGUGGCGAAGGCGACUUUNNGGUCUGUAACNGACGCUNA